rnacentral:rRNA from 1 species
CUCGUAGGUGGCCAACUAAGUCAGACGUGAAAUCCCUCAGCUUAACUGGGGAACUGCGUCUGAUACUGGAUGGCUUGAGUUUGGGAGAGGGAUGCGGAAUUCCAGGUGUAGCGGUGAAAUGCGUAGAUAUCUGGAGGAACACCGGUGGCGAAGGCGGCAUCCUGGACCAAUACUGACACUGAGGAGCCGAAAAGCCAGGGGAGCAAACG